UUGGGGAUUGGCUACCGCGCUUAGCCAGGUGAAGGGAAGGAAAGAGCCUCAACAAACUUCGCUCAUUUGUCAUGUUCAUCUCACGUUACAUUUUCACUUCAUCACUUUAGGCUUAGGUCUCCACCGCGCCGGAAAUCACCUCCAUUGGCGACGGAGGUGCAAACGCGUUCAAACAAGCACUAAUCCACUCGUCUUGGCCUCGUUUUCCAUUAUAACAACAUGAUUUUCUCUAAUUCUUACUCUGAACUCCAAAACGGAGGCCAAAUGGAAGAAGAGCGAAGAGAUCCUACCUACGAGGAUGAGAAGUUCCCCGGUCAAGGUUGAAUUCGAAGCAGAUGAAGAUGAAGAUGGAAAAGCUACACUCAGGAUGCUUUGGAUUGGGAAUGAGCUAGCUAAUGUUCGGGUGGUUGUCCAAUUUGCAGUGGUGAAGUGAGGUAUUUGCAAUCCAUCUAGCAGGGCUAUCAAGAUGAACCUGGCCUGAGUUGUGAAUAAUGCAAUUGGUCUAAACUGCAGUAGGUUUUUAUGGUAUGCACAUAGGAUGGCUUGGCAUGCAAAGCUUGAUCAAGAUGUGGAAUCAAAACAUGGAACUCACCAAAGGUCAUGCAAAGGUUUGAAGAACAAGAUGAGAUGGCUCAUGCAUGAAGGAAAAAGUAGAAUUAGGGUUUUAUAAUAGUUAGUUGACUUUGGUCAAUUCUAGGUCAAAACAUGUAAAUUUGCAUGGAUUUGAUUCUUGACUUCUUUUGUAAUAAGAAACAGAUUUCCCUCCAAAUCACCUUUUAAAAGUUUGAACUUGAAUUGUACUUGAAUUACCAUGAAAUGAAUUGAAUGUGUUUCCCCCUCCAAAA